rnacentral:rRNA from 1 species
AUACGGAGGGUGCGAACGUUGCUCGGAAUCAUUGGGCGUAAAGCGCACGUAGGCGGCGGCGUAAGCGGGAUGUGAAAGCCCAGGGCUCAACCCUGGAAGUGCAUCCCGAACUGUGUCGCUUGAAUCUCGGAGGGGGACAGAGAAUUCCCGGUGUAGAGGUGAAAUUCGUAGAUAUCGGGAGGAAUACCAGUGGCGAAGGCGCUGUCCUGGACGAAGAUUGACGCUGAGGUGACGAAAGCGUGGGGAGC